rnacentral:rRNA from 1 species
AGUGAACGCUGGCGGUACGCCUAACACAUGCAAGUCGAACGGCAGCACAGUAAGAGCUUGCUCUUACGGGUGGCGAGUGGCGGACGGGUGAGGAAUACAUCGGAAUCUACUUUUUCGUGGGGGAUAACGUAGGGAAACUUACGCUAAUACCGCAUACGACCUACGGGUGAAAGCAGGGGAUCUUCGGACCUUGCGCGAUUGAAUGAGCCGAUGUCGGAUUAGCUAGUUGGCGGGGUAAAGGCCCACCAAGGCGACGAUCCGUAGCUGGUCUGAGAGGAUGAUCAGCCACACUGGAACUGAGACACGGUCCAGACUCCUACGGGAGGCAGCAGUGGGGAAUAUUGGACAAUGGGCGCAAGCCUGAUCCAGCCAUACCGCGUGGGUGAAGAAGGCCUUCGGGUUGUAAAGCCCUUUUGUUGGGAAAGAAAAGCAGCAGGUUAAUACCCCGCUGUUCUGACGGUACCCGAAGAAUAAGCACCGGCUAACUUCGUG